CGAGACUCUGUCUGUUAGUGCCGAGUCAGCGGCUGCAGGUGGUUGUGGGGCUUGGUCUGUUGGCAUCUUGGACACUGCUUAUUUGGGCACGUCAUCUGACUUUCCAGUCUUCUCGGGUUUUUACCACAGAAAGCGAAGACUCGCAAAAAUGCCCCGCAAGCGGAGUGGUGAGGAUGGGGACGAACCGAAGGUUAAACAGCCUCUCGGGCGCUGUCCAGGCUCUCGGCAGCGGCGAGACCGGCAGCUGUGGAGGCCGCUGCGGCUUCCGCAGCAGCUGAGGUAACACCAGGUGGAGUGGAGGCAGGGGGUGAAAUCACCAUCCCGCCCCAGACACGUAACAAGUGGAGGCAGAGGAUCGUACCCCUGGAAAACAAGAUGGAAAUUUUAUAUAAGGUGGACGAAGGCGUGAGUAAGACCGAUGUCGGGCGCCUUUUUGGCGUUAGUAAUUUUACGGUGAGCACCAUUAAGAAAAACGAGAAGGCCAUUUAGUGCCAGCAUGGUGGGUGUUUCACCCAUUUGCUCCAAGGUGCUGUGCGUACCCUGGGGUAUAAACAUGGAGAAGAUGGACACUGAAUUAACCUUUUGGGUUGAGGACCAGACCAUAGGAGGACGUCAUCUGACUUUGAAGGCCAUCUGCAACCAGGCCAAACGCAUUUACCAGCAGCUGGUGGAAACCAUGGGGAAUGGCAACCAAGAGAAAUUUCGUGUGAGCAAGGGAUGGUUUGAGAAGUUUUAAAAUCGCAACUGUUUGCAGAAUGCUGGGGUGAUGGGGAAGGAAGAAUUGCUGAAUGCUGAAUAGGCACCCAAGUAUCCCAAGCAACUCCAGAGACUGCUCAGAGCUAGAGGCUGUGUGCUUCAACAGGUCUUCAACGCUGAGGACAUAAGCUUGUUUUAGAAGUGCGAGCCAUUGAGUACUUUCAGAGGGGAAAAAAAAAAAAUGCAGAAAGCUUAGAGGAAGCUAAGGACAUGAUUUUCUUUAUUUUUUGUGCCAGUGCCUCAGGUGACAAAACGAUACAACCCAUUGCUACUUUACAAAGACCCUAAUCUCACUUGUCUUAAAGAAAAAGAUUUAAAAAACGCCCUCCUGUUCUCUGGUGAUCAUGCCCCAAAGUAUCGGUAACCACUGUCUUCUUUUUGGAUUGGUUUCAUAAUUGUUUUGUCCAUCAAGCCCAAAGUUAUUUAACAGAAAAAAAAAAACUCGAAUUCAGUGUGUUGCUACAGAGGUCCCAAUCACUCAGACUCAAUAUACUUUGCUCAUCCGAAUAUUGAUAUGUGGAAACCCUGGUGGAGUAGUGGUUAAGUUCUGCGGCUGCUAACCAAAGGGUCGGCAGUUCAAGUCUGCCAGGUGCUCCUUGGAAACUCUAUGGGGCAGUUCUACUCUGUCCUAUAGGGUCACUAUGAGUCAGAAUCGACUCCACAGCACUGGGUUUGGUUUUUUUUUUGAAAUGUUGAUACUGUGUUUCUGCCCUCACUAGCCUUUUUUAGCCCUUGGAUCAGGGUGUAAUUGAAGCUCUCAGGAGGUGUUAUGCCAAGCAUAUGUUUGACCAUUUUGCUGACUAUAUUGAAGAAAAUCCUCUUCAUAAACUUUGAAAGAAAUAUGGCAACAUUAACAACAUAGCCGAUGCUUUGGUAGUUGUAAAAGAAGAAAUGGAUGUUAUAAAACCAGCGGCUCUUAAUAAAGCUUGGUGGAAACUUUGGGAGAAUGUUGUAAAUGAUGCAUGUUUUCCUAGAGUUAAUGAAGUGGAAAAAAAAAUCAUAGACUCUGCACAACGGAUGGGCUUUACAUUCAUUGAGAUCCAGGCAAAUCAGUGACCUGCUCAAGUUUCAAACUUCGGUGAUAAAUGAGAGUCUACACCCAUAGAUGAGGGAGAAGACAAGUCCUCCAACCAAAACUAAAAAUGAAUCUAAGGAAACUGCUGUCUUAUGCCAGGCCUUAGACCUCACUGAUGCUGCAAUUGAGAUGGAUCCUUUCCUGGAUAGAAUUUUGGACUUUAAAAAAGAUUUCAAUAAAUUUCUGUAUACUAUGAAGUGGUACAGAAGAACCUUAGAAAUAAAAGCAAAAGGAGUUGAAGAGGGGGAAGAUUCAGAUAAUGAAAAAGAAGUGGUAUGGGUAAAAGAAACAGAUACAAAAUCUGGUUCUAAGGAAGAAUCUGAGUCCAAAUCCAAGUCCAAAUCUUAAGUCAAAGUCUAGUAAGGAGGAGGAGAAGAAACUUUGAGAAGAAAAGGUUGAACUUUCAGGCAGUAGUAGCACUGAGACCUUGCAAUCGCUGAAGAAUCUGCCAAAGCCAUAAAUACAGAAUUAGAUUUUAGAGUAGAAGUGCCUGAAUUGAAGGAAGAAGAAGAUCCAGAGGCUUCUUCCAAAUAACAGUUCAUUUUUGUCAUCCUUCCCCUUUUACCCCAACAUCACCUUCAUUGUGACCAUCAUCCUGGUCAUCACCAGCCACACAUCUUUAUCAUUUAGUCAUUCAACAAACAUUUAUUGAGCAUACUCAGCAAGGUCCUGUGCUAAACCUGAGGAUAUCAUCUCAAAAUCAUCUCGGGAUCUGAGGUAAUUAACAGUCAUUAGCAGUGCACAUUUUUAUUAAUAUAAUAGGUACGGAAGAUCACUGUCUUGAUUUAAAAAAAAAAAAAAAAAACGUUGCCAUAGAGUUGAUUCUGACUCAUAGCGACUUUAUAGGACAUGGUAGAAAUGCACUAUAGGGUUUCCAAGGAGCAGCUAGUAGAUUCAGAACAAUUUUUAGUUAGCAGCCGAACUCCUGACUACCACACCACCAAGGCUUCAGAUUUAGUGGACUUAAAAUAUGAAGGUUUUCAUGGGACCACUCAACUGCAUUUUCUCUAACCCUGUCUUUUCCAGACGUCCUGUUUAUCUGUCAAUCAUUUAUGGAGUUAACCUUGACAAUUGACAUGAGAAUUCUUGAAAUGAUGACAUCUUAAAUUUUUAAUACACUCAAGUGCAUCUUCCCUGUUAUUCCUCACUUCAGACUCAUAAAGACGUUAGUCCUUCCUUUACAAAAAACACAGUCCACAAAAGCUGAGAGGUUUAGCAACUUCUGAGUCUGCACAUCUAACAGUGUCAGUGGCAGGAGGACUAGGACUACAGCUGAUACAUUUACUUUGCCAAGACUUUGCUAGGAAGUGUAUCAGGUCUUCGACAGCCUGGAGGACUGAGACAGAUUGGUAAACAGGGAGUUACAGUAAGCACAGAGCCUGUGAACUGGUAACCUGCAGGCCAGAUUUGACUAACAGGUAUGUUUUGUUUGGACUGCCCAGGUUAGGACAAUUUUGAAUUGGUUGCCACCAUUUUUUUUCCAGGUAUUUACAGUAAAAUUCACCAGUGAAAGUGUACACUUUUUUCAGUUUUGGUGAUAAAUAAUUGUGUAAUCAUCACCACAAUCAAGAUAUAGAAGAGUUCCCUCAACCUAAAAAGUUUACACAUGCCUUUAUGCACUCAGUUCCUCCCCACCUCAUCUCCAGAGUUGUCCUUUUUAAAAUUAAGGUAUUUCACAUAAAAGACUGGGUUGAAAAAUUAGAAACCCUGGCAACGGUGGGCUCUGCAUUUCCUGAAAGGGCACUCUGCCGCUUAGCUGCUGCUGUUACUUGUUUGCAGCUCCCUCUAGGUUGUUAAAUGCAACAACAGGGUGUGUGCAUAGCGCCUUGGAAAAGAGGGAUGCGGGAGUAAUUCUGGGAAAGUGUGUGUGUGUGUGUGUGCGCGGGCUUCACUCGAACGUUUUUGUUGGCUGUUUGGGCCUCUAAAGUCCUCUAAACUGGAAGAGCUUUGUGUAUAUGUAUUAUUAGUGUUUUGUAUAUCUAAGAAAGGCUCACAGCUUUUUUUUUUUUUUUUAACUGUGCAUCGCUAAGAAUUUUCUGUUUGUUUGAAUGGGGAGGGGAAAUAGUAUUUUUAUUUUGUAGGGGUUGUGUGUUUCGAGGGAAAAGGUUGACGGGUGAAAAUUCCGCCCUCCGGUUCCCUGCCCUCCCACGGUCUUGGCGGCCCGGCGGGGAGGGGCGGGGCGGGGUGCUGCAGGUGGAGGGUGGGAGGGGGGCAGUUUAAGUCCUCAGUGCCCGCCCACUAGCCAGCAGCUCGCCAUCGCUGUUGCGGCUGAAGUACCAGCUCCGCAAUGGACAAGCUGGGCUCACGGUGCCCUCUGCCAUGCUCUCCGCGGCCUUCUGCCCUUGUAUGCCUCCUGAUUCUGACAGCUUCUUUCCUGACAUACCCCAUGCUCAAGACCCUUAGCGUGCAGUUCCAUUCAACUGUUACAGGCAGCUAUGUCUCCGGCACUCACUCCAUCGUCUUUGUCAACUGUCCCAGUGAGCAAAUUGCCAGAGGAAUUGCCAGGGCCCUACUGGAUAAGAAACUGGCUGCUUCUGUGAACAUCCUGCCCAAGGCCGCCUCAUUGUACUAUUGGAAGGGAGAGAUAGAAGAAGCCACUGAGACCCUGCUGUUAAUAAAGACAAAGACUUCCAAGGUCCACGUGCUUUCCAGCUACAUCAGGCCAACCGCCCAGCUGCGCCGAAGUAGUUGGUGAUGGAUGAUUUGAGGUGGGACAAGGACGAGUCAUCUUCACUGAUGCUUUCAAAUGUGUGGCUGUCAAUGCCUUCGUCUGGCCGCUCAGGGCCCGACGCCCCCUCUGCACUGCUGUCUGAGGGGCAGCGCCCACCCAGUUCAGCUGCCCGCCGCUUUGCCUGCAGUGGCAUGUAUACUUUGGCUGUCAGCUUCCUCUUGCGGCUGCCCACCGUCCGUCUAUGUCAAGAGAGGGGAGAGUAAGAUAGUGGGAAUGAGAUGGGAUAAUCAUAACUCUAAAUUGCUCUCCCUGAGCACUAUCCUAGGUACCAGGCACUACAUCAGGCCCUGGGCAUGAAUUAUCUCACUAUAUCCUCACCAUAGGCCUGGGAGGAGGGAAACAGGAUGGACAGGAGAAAUAACCAGCUGGGGAGUGGGAGAACCAGGGUUCAAACAAAGGUGUGCUCAACUAUAAAGCACAUGCUCUUUGUAUUCAGGACCUCAGCACUGCACAAGUCCAGGGGCCUCACUCUUUGUGUCCCCUGAAGCUGUGCAAUGCAGCAGCCCUGGUUACACUGCCUUGUCCCUCAGCUGGACUUCAUUUGUAGCAAAAGGAGUGAAAUAAGGGUGGGGGAGGGCAGUUGGGGACUAAAAUACCUCGUACCCCAGAGUCUGGAUUGGAGAGAGAGACAUGUAUGCACACACACAGGACAGAGGCAGGAUAGGGAAGUGGACACAGAAGAGGUGCACAUUCACAGAUACUUAGAUGCUGAACCCGAAGAGCUAGUGAGAACCAAAGAAACACAAAUGAGAAUAUAAAGAGGCAACAGCAGACACACCUAGUCAGAGAUGAUUUGAAACAGAGAAAGUCUCCAAGACACACCUCUAUAGGCAUCACAAUUUUAAUUCUACUUUUGCAAGGGCCUCAAGUAUCCUAAGUUACAGCUAAAGGAGACUCCAAGUCCGUAAGAAAUUCUGUGUGUGCUUUCAGCAUCCACCCUCCCUAUGCUGCUGAGGACCAACUGCCAAACAUGUGCCCUCAGCUAGGUCCCCAGGGAUUUCUGUCCCCCCCUCCAUGCUAUCUCUGCAGGGUGCCAUCUACCCCUCCAUCAAGCCUCCAAAUAAAUGGCUCCCUUAGAGACCCUGAAAGACACCAGCUUCAGACAGCCAAGAACCAAGGUUAAGGAAUCCUGCAGUCAGAGAGGCACAGACAUGCAAAAUCAUGACAUAUAGGCCAAGAGCCCCAGAAUGAAGAACCUCUGGUCAAACAACCCUGGAAAUGGAAUUGCCCCACAGGAAGUGUCACACAACCUAUUGCAGCAUCCCAAAGGGAUGAAACCACAGCACCCUGAAUGCUCAUAUUCAGCCCCCAUCCAAGCCCCAGCGAUAAGAACCAGAGGCUCCCAGAGCCAGGCUCACACAAUCAGAGCCAGGGUCCCAGAAGGCCAGGACCUCCAGCCCAAGACUCAGAUGUACAAAUGAACCACACUGUUGCAGAAGUUGGAGGGGCAGGGGCUGGGGGAGGGGGGAAAAUGAUUGAACUUGCACAAUAAGGACAGGCUCCCAGGAAGCUCACCUAGAGUCAUAGGAGAGGCUGGUGGAGGCAGAGCCAGAGGUGCUGGCAGCAUCCGUGGAGUCCACAUCUGAGAAGGUCUGGCCUGAGCUGGCGCUGAGAAGGAAGUCGAGGGUGAGCUUGACGUUCACCAGGCCCAGCAACGUCCUACCACUUGAUUCUCAGGGCCCUUUGGGACUUCUCCAGCCAUCUGUCCACCCCUCUGACAUGUGUCCUUCAUCCCAGGGGAGGCCUAUCUCCCUACUACUGAAAUCCUUCCCACCGUCACACCUGCAGUUGCCUCUUCCCUGCCUGUCCAUUUUCUAUGCAUCCAGCCUUCAAAGUCCAAGGAUUCAAGAAAGCCUUCCCUGAACAUUGGUGACAUUAAAGAUUUUAAUAAGCAUAAUCCCAGGCUCUUGUGCAACACUUUACAGAUCAAAAAUGCUUUCAUUUGCAGUAUCUUGAGCCUCAUAACCAUGUGAAAACAGAAGAGGUUCAGAGGGCUUCACGGUCACACAGCUGGUACCUGCUCAGAGGAGGCGCCAUUCUCACUGGGCACCAGCCCCUUGUCAGGCAGCAAUUUCCCUGGUGGGUUGGGAGGAACACGGAUGCGCAGACGGAAGAUGCACUUCUUCUUCUUGAUCUCCUUGCCGCAGAGGAACCUGGGGGGUGGGCAGGGGAAGGAGAAAGCUCUGGAGUCUUGGUCUAUCUUCCUGGUGAGCGGGGUCAAGCAUUAAACCACCCUCUCUGGCUUCCUGGACCCAGAGCUAAAAUCCAAAGUGGCCUCCAGAGACUCUCAUUCCUCAAAGCCAACGGGAUCAGGAGUUUCAGGUGGUGGCUGAGAAUGUGGCCGGCAGCUCCUGCCUGUCCUUCCUCCAGCAGGUGUGUGGUUCUUGUUGCUCCUCUCCCACCUCCUACUGGAAGGCCUCCUCCAGCUCACAGUGGAACUCCUAAGGUCGAGACACUGGAUUCUACACCAAUCUGGUCUCUGGUCUCCCCAAGCAGACUGAAAGCACUUCAGGCACUUUAUUCAGCCUUUCAAUACUGGCUGAGCUACCAAGUGGGGCUGGUGAGGUGACCCAGACACAGCCCUACCCUCAGGGGACUCACAAUCCACUGGGAAGCUAGUUGGCCUGAUGUACGCAAGAGUAAGGCUGUGUCUGGGCCCCAAACCAUGGGAAAGUAGAAGGCAGAAUGGUUAAUUACACAUAGAGAUGUCUAAAAAGAUUUCACAGAAGCCAGGACCUUGUCUUAUUCCCCACUGUGUCCUCAGUACCUAGCACAGAGCCUGAUAUAGAACAGCAAUUCCAUAAAUAUUUGUUGAUGCAAUGAAUGAAUAAAAGGAACUGAAGAGCAUCCUAGGCAGAGACAACAGCAUGAUCAAAAGCACUAAGAUGGGAAAGCAAGGAAUUCAGUAUGGGUGGCACCCAGGACAAACAAAGCAAUGGGGCAAUGGCAGAAGAGGUGGGCAGGAUCUAAUCAUAAAGGGCCUCAAAUGCCAGGCUCAGGAGGGUGGCAGUUCCCUGUGGUGCUAGCAAUAGAGGUGGUCAGCUGAGUCUUCUGAGAAGAACUCAGAAGAGACAGGCUAGGGGAUGAGUGAGGAGGCUACAGCCCACCUAGGGAUGAUGAAUCAAUUCCUCAGUGCCCAGCCCAGAACCAAGAUGGCUAGAGAAGGAGAGAUCCCCAGAGAUCGGGGGUACAGCCUCUUAUGGAACUGAACCCAGUAUCACAAUGUGUCAGGCUGCUGAGAAGGUCAAGGGAAGCUUUGUAAAGGAGGUGGAAUGCUCCCUGGAUUUUGAAGGAUGGGAAACAAAAAAAAAAACCCAAACCCAUUGCCAUCAAGUCCAUUCCGACUCAUAGCGACC